rnacentral:ncRNA from 1 species
UAUCCCACAUGCUAGUUCAAGAACAACUUCAGGCUGGCCAUUUACAACCCAAGCUCAGUCCUUGGAACACACCCAUCUUUGUAAUCAAGAAAAAAAUCUGGCAACUGAGAUUAUUACAAGAUCUCAGGGCAGUUAAUAGUGUUAUUGAGCCCAUGGGAGCCUUACAACCAGGGCUUCUUUCUCCUACAGCUAUCCCCUUGGAUUAUCAUUUAAUAGUAAUAGCUUUAAAAGAUUGUUUCUUUUCUAUACCUUUGAAGCCAGACGACUGUAAAAAGUUUGCCUUUAG